AUUGAACGCUGGCGGCAGGCCUAACACAUGCAAGUCGAGCGGAUGAAGGGAGCUUGCUCCUGGAUUCAGCGGCGGACGGGUGAGUAAUGCCUAGGAAUCUGCCUGGUAGUGGGGGAUAACGUCCGGAAACGGGCGCUAAUACCGCAUACGUCCUGAGGGAGAAAGUGGGGGAUCUUCGGACCUCACGCUAUCAGAUGAGCCUAGUUCGGAUUAGCUAGUUGGUGGGGUAAAGGCCUACCAAGGCGACGAUCCGUAACUGGUCUGAGAGGAUGAUCAGUCACACUGGAACUGAGACACGGUCCAGACUCCUACGGGAGGCAGCAGUGGGGAAUAUUGGACAAUGGGCGAAAGCCUGAUCCAGCCAUGCCGCGUGUGUGAAGAAGGUCUUCGGAUUGUAAAGCACUUUAAGUUGGGAGGAAGGGCAGUAAGUUAAUACCUUGCUGUUUUGACGUUACCAACAGAAUAAGCACCGGCUAACUUCGU
rnacentral:rRNA from 1 species